rnacentral:rRNA from 1 species
UACGUAGGGGGCAAGCGUUGUCCGGAGUUACUGGGCGUAAAGCGCACGCAGGCGGUCUGCCAAGUUCGGCCUGACAGUUGGUGGCUCAACCACCAAAGGCGGUCGAAAACUGGGGGACUUGAGAGCUUGAGAGGGACACGGAAUUCCGGGUGGAGUGGUGAAAUGCGUAGAGAUCCGGAGGAACACCGAAGGCGAAGGCAGUGUCCUGGCAAGCUUCUGACGCUCAGGUGCGAAAGCCAGGGGAGCGAACGGG